rnacentral:rRNA from 1 species
UACGGAGGGGGCUAGCGUUGUUCGGAAUUACUGGGCGUAAAGCGCGCGUAGGCGGACCUGCAAGUCGGGGGUGAAAGCCCGAGGCUCAACCUUGGAAUUGCCUUUGAUACUGAUUGUCUUGAGUUUGGGAGAGGUGUGUGGAACUCCGAGUGUAGAGGUGAAAUUCGUAGAUAUUCGGAAGAACACCAGUGGCGAAGGCGACACACUGGCCCAAUACUGACGCUGAGGCUCGAAAGCGUGGGGAGCAAACAGG